UGGUGGAGUGAUUUGUCUGGUUAAUUCCGUUAACGAACGAGACCUCGACCUGCUAAAUAGUUCUAUAAAUUCUCCGGGAUUUAUCUGGACUUCUUAGAGGGACUAUCGGUGUGUAGCCGAUGGAAGUUCGAGGCAAUAACA
rnacentral:rRNA from 1 species